GGUGCGGUGCCAGAGUGGUUAAUGGGUAUGACUCGAAUAUGCACGAUAUCAUAUGUCUUCGGACGCAGGAGUUCGAAUCUCCUCCGCAUCG
rfam:Pyrenophora teres f. teres 0-1 contig_005840, whole genome shotgun sequence.